rnacentral:rRNA from 1 species
GAUGAACGCUGGCGGCGUGCCUAAUACAUGCAAGUCGAGCGAACGGACGAGAAGCUUGCUUCUCUGAUGUUAGCGGCGGACGGGUGAGUAACACGUGGAUAACCUACCUAUAAGACUGGGAUAACUUCGGGAAACCGGAGCUAAUACCGGAUGAUAUUUUGAACCGCAUGGUUCAAAAGUGAAAGACGGUCUUGCUGUCACUUAUAGAUGGAUCCGCGCUGCAUUAGCUAGUUGGUAAGGCAACGGCUUACCAAGGCAACGAUGCAUAGCCGACCUGAGAGGGUGAUCGGCCACACUGGAACUGAGACACGGUCCAGACUCCUACGGGAGGCAGCAGUAGGGAAUCUUCCGCAAUAGGCGAAAGCCUGACGGAGCAACGCCGCGUGAGUGAUGAAGGUCUUCGGAUCGUAAAACUCUGUUAUUAGGGAAGAACAUAUGUGUAAGUAACUGUGCACAUCUUGACGGUACCUAAUCAGAAAGCCACGGCUAACUACGUG